AUUGAACGCUGGCGGCAUGCCUAACACAUGCAAGUCGAGCGAGCGGCGGACGGGUGAGUAAUGUAUGGGGACUGCCCGAUAGAGGUGGAUACCUACUGGACACGGUAGCUAAUACCGCAUACUAUCGGAUAACCCAUAUGUGAUUAGCUAGUAGGUGAGGUAAUGGCUCACCGAGGCGACGAUCCCGAGCUGGUCUGAGAGGAUGAUCAGCGACACGGGGACAUGGAGACGGACCAGACUCCUACGGAGGCAGCAGUGGGGAAGAUGGCACAAUGGGAGAAAGCCUGAACCAGCCAUCCCGCGUGUACGAUGAAGGCCGUAGGGUUGUAAAGUACGAUUGGCAGAGAAGGGGUAUCUGCAGAAUAAGCACCGGCUAACUACGUGCCAGCAGCCGCGGUAAUUC
rnacentral:rRNA from 1 species